UACCAAGGCUUGACAUAUAGGAGAACGAUCCAGAAAACAUGGUUUUUCCGCAAGGUAGUAAACACGUGGUGCAUGGUGGUUGUCAUCUCGUGUCGUGAGAAGUUGGGGUAAAUCCCCCAACAAGCGCAACCCCCUUUUUAUGUUUCCACCACCUAAAGGUGGGGACUCAUGGGAAACUGCCGGGGUCAACUCGGAGGAAGGUGGGGAUGACGUCAAAUCAUCAUGCCCCUUAUGUCUUGGGGUUCACCCAUGCUACAAUGGGUGGUACAAAGGGGUGCAAUACCGCGAGGUGGAGCGAAUCCCAAAAAACCGGUCCCAGUUCGGAAUGGGGUUUGCAACUUGACCUCCUGAAAUCGGAGUCGCUAGUAAUC
rnacentral:rRNA from 1 species